rnacentral:tRNA from 1 species
GGGGUUGUGGUGUAACGGCAGCACGUCCGACUUUUAAUCGGAAUGGAGACAGUUCGAAUCUGUCCGGCCCCA